rnacentral:rRNA from 1 species
UGAAACUGCGAAUGGCUCAUUAUAUCAGUCUAAAUAUACUUGAUAGUACCUUACUACUUGGAUAACCGUGGUAAUUCUAGAGCUAAUACAUGCUAAAAACCCAGACUUCGGAAUGGGUGUAUUUAUUAGAUAAAAAACCAAUGCCCUUCGGGGCUCCCUGGUGAUUCAUGAUAACUUAACGAAUCGUAUGGCCUUGUGCCGGCGAUGGUUCAUUCUAUAUUCUGCCCUAUCAACUUUCGAUGGUAGGAUAGUGGCCUACCAUGGUGUUAACGGGUAACGGGGAAUUAGGGUUCUAUUCCGGAGAGGGAGCCUGAGAAACGGCUACCACAUCCAAGGAAGGCAGCAGGCGCGCAAAUUACCCAAUCCCGACACGGGGAGGUAGUGACAAUAAAUACUG